rnacentral:rRNA from 1 species
ACUCAAAGGAAUAGACGGGGGCCCGCACAAGUGGUGGAGCAUGUGGUUUAAUUCGAUGAUACGCGAGGAACCUUACCUAGGCUAGAAUGCGCGUGACCGACUCAGAGAUGAGUCUUUCCUUCGGGACACAAAGCAAGGUGCUGCAUGGCCGUCGUCAGCUCGUGCCGUGAGGUGUUGGGUUAAGUCCCGCAACGAGCGCAACCCCUAUGUUUAGUUGCCAGCACAUUAUGGUGGGGACUCUAAACAGACUGCCUGCGCAAGCAGUGAGGAAGGCGGGGACGACGUCAGGUCAUCAUGGCCCUUACGCCUAGGGCUACACACGUGCUACAAUGGACGGUACAGAGGGUCGCUACUUAGUGAUAAGAUGCCAAUCUCACAAAGCCGUUCUCAGUUCGGAUCGGAGUCUGCAACUCGACUCCGUGAAGCUGGAAUCACUAGUAAUCGCGUAUCAGCAAUGACGCGGUGAAUACGUUCCCGGGCCUUGUACACACCGCCCGU